UCAGAGCUUGUCUUAGGGCAGAAAAAUAAAAUGUUUGUCCUGGCCUUUGUCCUACCACAGUUUAGUCUUCCAGUCUUCCUGCUGUAGGUUUGUCAUGUUAGAGCUGAUGAGAUAUCUAGCUCAGAGUAAAAUAUCCCUACCAAUAAAUGUCCUGAUAGCCAUUUGUUCUCUGUCCCAUCCUCUAAAGCACAUAAUUAUCUGGAUAGGCAUUAACUUUUGUUCCACCUUGUGAACUGAAUCAGAUACUGUGAGGAUUUUUUGGGGGAAGAAAAAAAAAAGCUGACAAAGAGUUGUCUUUGCAGCUGGGCGUGGUGGCGCAUGCCUUUAAUCCCAGCACUUGGGAGGCAGAGACAGGCGGAUUUCUGAGUUCGAGGCCAGCCUGGUCUACAAAGUGAGUUCCAGGACAGCCAAGACUAUACAGAGAAACCCUGUCUCGAAAAACCAAAAAAAAAAAAAAAAAAGAGUUGUCUUUGGGAGUACCUACAAAAACACCAGUUCUGGAAUACUGUCUCAUGUCUCUCCUUUUUGAACUAAGAUCCUUUUUCGACCAUUUGCAAACUAAUAAAAACGAGGGGGCAGCGUUUCUGCUCCUCCUCCUCGGUGUCUAAGAUGCUGAUUCUCCCAUUCAGUUUGUUGCUGUCCUCGGAAGAGUUCUUCCAGCUGUAUGAAAGGGAGAUCUUUGGCAGGGCUGCGCUGAGCUGACAGUACCAUACACUUUAAUGCUUAUGGUAUUACCCAAGAACCUCUGAGAAUUUUAAAGUGGCUGCCUUUAAAUGACUCUAACUAAGCUUCCUGGGGGAAGGGGUGAAUUCAAGAGGGCUAGCUCUGAUUGACUCUGUCCUUGCUUGCUAAGAAGACUUACUGUACAAUGUUCUAGGGAAGGGGCCAGUUUUAUGUCGCAAAAUGCCAGGUCAUGGGGAUGAUUCUCUUGUUCUGACUUUCUCACCAGAUUUUACAAGGAGCUUCCAAAUAGACAGAACUCUCAUCUGGAGAUAACUGUCUGAGCUAACUAGACAUUUCUGGAAAUCUACUGUUUUCCAAUUUUGAGCCAUUUUCCAUAUAACAUGGUGUAAUUCCCUAUCAUUUGUAUGUGCUGAGGAAGUGGAGAAGAUUCUGAGACGUAUAUCCUUGGUUACCAGGGAGAUGCCUGCUUAGCGUUCAAAGCACCUCACUGUAUGAGUGGUAGUUCUCUCCCAUUCUCACCUUUAGAUGCCUUGCUUCAUUCAUAGUCUAGGGACCCUUGUAGGGGAACUUCCAGGUUGCUUUCUCUGAAUGGGAGUGAUAGCAGAUAAUAGCAACGUUACAGAGACUGAGGUAACUCUGAGAAUGUGAGAAGAAACUGCAAGUUUUUGUAGCACCCAGUCAGUAUGGGAAAGGUUCCAUCUGAGGACAGUGGGGUGGCAGGGAGCAGUACUGUGAACUGAGGGGAACACAUUUUGAAGCUCAGGCGCAGUGGCUGUCAGGAGAGGCUUCUGAGCCAAAGUAGCAACUCCUUUGUUCCUUUAAUGACUUUGCUGACAAAAUUACAGAAUUAUUCACCCCAAAGACCACACUCUGACCUCUACUGGCUGUUACUUGUAAUGAAUCUCAGAGCAUUCGCCUGGUGACUUAGCGUUGUGGGUGCUAAGCCAGGUAAACACAGGAGGUCUGCUGACCUAACAUGGAUUCAAGGUAUGCUUACAGGUGGUCUGGAGUUUACCAGUAACUCUGUAGCCUGGGUUACAGACAGAGGCAGACAGGCUCCAACUGAUGUCCCAUGCCUCAGAAGUUCUAAAUUGUCAGGCACAGUUCAAGCAGACAAAAUUUCUCUAAGGCCUGCUAAUAUUUUCUUCUUUAAUCCCAUCACUCAGGUAGCAGAGUCACUAGCAGACCUAACUGUGGGAGGAAGAAGCACGCUCCUUGUUCAGGGCUUCUCCUGGGAGAGGUGAGGGGCAUGAUUUUCAAGCCUUGUAAGGCAGCUAGGUCAGGCCCUGUAGGAGGGACAGCAGCAGCCCGGUGUUGGCCAGUUGAGUUGAGCCAUGGGGCUUCUGAUGGCUUCAGUUUUAGGUGACCAUGGUAACCAGAUCGGGUCUUGUUUAGCUGCAUUUAGGAUUUGGCAGAGGUGGCAGACAUAUCUAACUGAAGAGAUCUUACUAGUGUGAGCCUGGUCUAGCAGCUGAGACCCUCUCUGCGACUGCCUCCUUUGGGACGGUUUGAGAUCAAUGCUGAAUUGUUGGGGCUAACGCUGGUUCCCCGAGUCUGGUGGCAAAUGCAUUGGUAGAGUGGCAUUCUCUCAUACUCUGCAGUAAGGCCCUGUUUUUUUGUUCUUUUCAUUUUUUUGAUGCUUCUUUAGUUUUUAGUGAGAAAAUUUCCAAUACUUUUCUAUUGUUCCAUGACUUAUAAAGUCAGCCAGCUUUAAAAUUCCUUUAUCUCAGUACACCUUAUGCCAUGUGUUACAAGGAACAUUCAUUCUCUAUAUUCAUAGAGCUGAGUGUUUUCAAAUGUCCCAGUUUGCACACAUAUAAAUAUUCACUGUCUCGGAAUUUGGAGGAGCAGGCAACAGGGCUACUCUGCCUUUAUUCCCUUUUGUGUGUGUGUGCAUUUGUGUCUUGUGAGAAUUCUGGGGAGGUCAGUAGAAGUUGUUGAACCCAUGGAGUUACAGGCAGGUAGUAGCCUCCUCAUUAAAGUGCCAGAGGUGGAACUCAGAUACUCUGGAAGAGUAGUAAGCAUUCAUAACCUCUGAACCAGCUCGACAAGACUUGUGGGGAUUAAGAUGGAAUCUCAUGUAGCCUAGGUUGGCCUCAAACUCUAUUGCAUUGGCUCUUUUUAGAAAAAGUAGAUUUGCAAAAGAGAGUUAAAGCUGCUAAAUAAACCUGAAACUUGAUUUUGAUAAUCACAUCUAAGUGAUAUGUAUUCUCAUUUUUUAAAAGAAAUAGCCAUCUACUUUUUAAAAGAUUUAUUUUAUGUAUAUGAGUACACAGUAGCUGUCUUUAGACACACCGAAAGAGGGCAUUGGAUGAUUGGGAGCCACCAUGUAGUUGCUGGGAAUUGAACUCAGGACCUCUUAACCACUGAGCCAUCUCUUCAGCUCCUCCUGUCUCAUUUAAUCCUCAACUUUCUUCCUGUCCAACGAGAGUGGAUUCCAUUUUAGAGAAAAACUGAGCCUCUAGUAGAUUGAGAACUUGGCCAAAGUCACAGGUGAUGCAGCUGCAACAGCCAGGGUUUGAACUUGCUUCUGCCUCUGUUCGUUUUCCCCACUCAUUGAGUGCUUGCUUUCUGGGGAAUCUCUGUGGCCUGUUUCAGUUAAAUGCUGCUCUGCUGAAGCUGACUCUUCAGGCAGGGCAGGACACUCAGGUCCAUUCUCAGCUCUGCCAGCUGCCAACUGUGACCUUGAACAAGUCAGCUCUGGUCUCGGAAGCUGGCUUUUAUUUUAUUUUUUACUUUAAUUAAUGUUUUCUGAUAAAAUUCUAAUUAACAGAGGAAAUAAGUUCAAAAUGGUGAAGGCAUGAUAAAGGGAUGAAGCUUGUUGAAUGGCAGUCAGCAUGUGUAACGAGUACUUCUCAGAGAGAAACGUUCCAGACAAAUGAAAAGCAUGAGAGCCAGGAGUCAAAGCACAGCUCAGACCCUCUGCAGGUUUCCCUUUUCUCUUCCAAGAAAAAUCUCUUCAAACCAUCGUUAUUUGUCAUCUUCUCUAGACUCUCACACCUAGGUGUAUGGAGUGAAAGGCUUGCAGAUGUUGUCUUCUCUAGAGAGCUUUCUAAGCAGCUGGCCUUCGAAAGGAUCCUUGGGCCACUGGGGUUGCUCAGUGUCGGUAAAAGUGCUUGCUGCCAAGCCUGACACCAGACAACCAGAGUUGUAUCCCUGGAACCCACAUGGUAGGAGAGAACAACUGUCUUCUGCAAGUUGUUCACUGACCUCUACAGUGUGCUCUGGCACUUGUACCACCCCCCCCAACACACACACACACACACACACACACACAAAACCCUUUGCCCUUUUCGUUCUUAUUCAUGGCAAGGCUUUUUGGUAAAGUAGUGAGCUCCUUUUCUUAGCCUCUUGAUAAACCAUCCUUGGUGACAAGAUACAGAACAGGUCACUGGCUUCUGUUCUGCUGCACUCAGAGAAAACCUCUUUGCUCUUCAGAAGUGCAUGUCAUGCUUGUAAGUUAAAAAAAAAAAAAAGCAUUUAACUGGCCUAGAAAGGCGUGAAGAAAGUGACUUGUUCAUUCGCUGUUCGUGCUUGUAAGCCAAGGUAUUUUGUGGUCAAAUGUACCCCAGUUUUGAAGUG
rnacentral:lncRNA from 1 species